AUGAUACUGUAAUGCGAAAAAGCUCCUUCACCAAUGUUGGUGUGGAUGCGCAAUUUGGUGCUCACCCAAUUACUGCAUUGGACAAUCCAUUUAUGCCACCUGAUAGGAGGGUUACCCAUGAUGAGGAUGUUUUGCGCAUUGAGAGGAAGCGGAAGAGUGAGGAGGCAAGGAUAGCACGUGAAGUUGAAGCUCAUGAGAAGAGGAUCCGAAAAGAGCUUGAAAAGCAAGAUAUCUUGAGACGAAAGAGAGAGGAGCAAAUAAGGAAAGAAAUGGAAAG
rnacentral:misc_RNA from 1 species